rnacentral:rRNA from 1 species
GAAUAAAUUUUGGCCCACUUUCCAGUAGGCCAAUUGUUACGACUUAUCUCACCUUAGAGUGAGAGUGACGGGCGAUAUGUACAUAAAUUAGAGCUAAAGUCAAAACUUUAAUAUUAAAGAUUUUACUUUUAAAUCCAAUUUCAAAAAAAUUAUAAAUUAAUUAUUCAAUAAUAUUUUAAAUGUAACCCAUCUCUUCUUUAUUAUAGCUGCAUCUUGACCUGAUAUAAAUUUAAUAAAAAAUAAGAGAAUUAUCUAAUAAAACACUCAAAACAGCGAUAUACAAACAAAAAUAAAGUAAACAUAAUCGUGGAUUAUCAAUUACAGGACAGGUUCCUCUAAAAAGAUUAAAUUACCGCCAAAUUCUUUUAAUUUAAAGAUCAUAACUUAUAAUUUUAAAACAAAUUUACAGCUAAAAUAAUAGGGUAUCUAAUCCUAGUUUUAAAGUUAGCUUUCUUAUAUAUCAUAAACCAAAAAUAUAAUUAAAAUACAAAUUUCACCUAAGAAUUAUAAAUAAAAUUUUAAAAAUAAAAAUAAAUAACCAAAAAAAAGAAUUGAUUUCAUCAAUUAUAUAACCGCGACUGCUGGCAUAAUUUUAGUCAAUGAAAAAUCAAUUUACUGAAUUUAAGUCUCCUUAAAAAACAAAACUAAUUACUGAGAAAAAAAAACAAAAC